AGCUAUCAGAUGGAGUCGGGCCCUAAGAGAGUGCAGCUCAUGUCUCAUUCUUCAUCCCUGAAGCAGACUCCUGACACUGCUGUCUUCUGGUGAGAGGCUAAGGCCUCUCAGCCUGCAUCUCCCCUUCUGCCCAGUUAACACUCUCAAAGGAAUUUAAUGUUGCCCACAAAUCUCUCUCACCCUCAACCUAGGACAUCAUGCGGCCACUACUGUCACAGUCACAGCCCUAGCUCCCCUUCUUCCCUGACAUGAAGUGUUCCCUUGUAUGGGAUGCUGGAGAGAAUUCCUCGUGAGGGUUGGGUGGCCUCUGCCAUGAACCUCUCAUGGAGGUGCUUUUGGAGGUCCCAGCCUGGCCACCAGGAAUAUGGAAAUUAGGCUAAAAGAUGAUAAUCAUUGCUGCUCAGUUCUCUCAAUUUUUUUUAAUUGUCCUAUCCAUAAAUCCUUUAGAAAAUCCCGGUAUUUCAGGAUAGGAAGGUUAGGAUCUUAUUUAUUCUCAUAAGGAACCACUACCUAGUAACAGCUUCACAGGCUACAGUGGAAAUCAGAAAACUUAGAAGAGUCCAGGCCCACAGGAGUAGCCUAGCACUGCCACUGGCCAGCUGCUGCUCCAGCUGUUCUGUGAGGGAUCACCACAGACAGGCCUCCUUACAUGUACCCAUUUUGGUGUUUAUUAGCAGAAGUACCAUCUGCCACCCUUACUAACUGCACAUAUGAACCCCUCCACCCCUUCCUUCUCCAUCAGGUCCCUCCAGAGAGGUUGCAGGAGCCCUGCAGGACAUGUGCUUAAUUGAGAAGGCAAGUUUGUAAGGCAGACUGUGUCUGAUCUCUGCACUAUAGCAAAGGCUUCUCCUCCUCAGGGAGUGAUCCAGCAGCUCAAGUGGCUCUGGAGACUGUGGAGCUAAAGUUGAACCAUAAAUGUAGUGUUUGUGGUCUUUGUGUUAGGCAAAGUUAAUAGGGUAUCUGGCAUUGGGAUCCUACUGACUGCCAUUCAGUAAGCCAAUAGUUACUAAAUGCGUAACUGCCAUUGCACUGUACAUGUCAUUCCAUGACUGUCUGCAUGCACAUGAUCCUUAAGGUAGCUGGCCCUGAGAGCUCACUGCAGGUUGGCUGAGAUCAUCCCUGCCUCUUCAUUCCAUCGUCAAGCCUCAUAGCCUUCGCACCUAAGGUAAAGGUGGCCUCCCCCCAGGCCUUCCUCAUUGGCCUCCUCCAGGCCUUCCUCAUUGGCCUCCCUCCAGGUCUUUGAAGAAGGGUCAAAGCAAGAAUAUGUCGCUAUGUAGGGUAUGAUACCCACAGGCCUAAGUGCCAGCAGACCCCUGUGUCAGCAGUGUCUACCCCAAGUGACAUCAUAAAGAUGAUAGUAGGAAAAGAGGGCUAGAAGCCAACCUGGGGCUCCCAGCUCUGCAUGCCUUAGUAGACUCUGUCCCAGGCCCUCAUUGAGUGACUGGGAUUAGCAAGUACUUACGGACAUUUAAGAUGAAGAAGUCAGAGUGGGGUUUAGCAACUCAGCAAUGCGGAGGGGCUCCUGCAAUUCCUGCCAGCCUUUAUUCUCCCACUUGAGAAGGCCUGAGUGUACCUCUUCCUCGCCAGUGGGCUUUAGAAGAGCACUGGAACAAGGAGAGCAGACUGGAACAAGACCACCAGUGGUGUUGGAGGUCACGCUGUGGCUGGCCGUGUCCUGUCCCAUCCGUUUGGCCUCCUGGGAAGAAUGUGUUGGCUCAAUUUCUUUCUCAGGAGAGAUGAAGUCAGUCCAGAUGGUUCUCACGUGCUACUGUCCUGCCCUCUGCUAUUAACACUGGGACUGGCUUGGCACCACACCCUCCUAUGUGACUGAAGCACAGACUCAUUGGCCUCCCUCCAGGUCUUUGAAGAAGGGUCAAAGCAAGGAUAUGUCACUCCGUAGGAUGUGAUACCCACAGGCCUAAGUCCCACCAGACCCUAUGUCAGCAGUAUUGAUAACAACUCUCGAGUCUGCCUCACCUCCUGCCUGCAGAGUCCAGAGUCAUGGGAAAGGAGCCAGAGGGAUGAGGCCGCACCACAGGCCUGUUGGGCACCCGCCGUCACUGCCAGUCUCAGAGAUUCUGACUGUUCAAAGACAUGUUCUUCCUGUGAACCAAGAGGACGUUCAGGGAAAAAGAAAACAUGUUUUACCUAGGGAUCCUUCUGAACAAAAUGGCUGUCUGUACUCUUUUUAACCAGAAACUUUCCAAACUUUUUAGUGUCAAAAUUGUAACCAAGUGUCUCCUGAUUCUUCCCGAUGUGCUUGGCAAGUGCUGUGACCCUGUUGUAGGUAUUUCUCCUCCUGCCUCUUCUGAGGGAGAAGUGAUUUUAGGGGUUGAUUGGAGGGAGCCGGUGUCUGUCUGGCUCCUGCCACCUCUCUUGUUUCUCUGCUUGUUGAUAUUGUUUGUGUGAUUCAGAGAACGGGGCAGUUACAUUGUGUCCAUUGUUGAGAAUAUUAAAAUAUUAAAACAGUAGUUAUAG
rnacentral:lncRNA from 1 species